GGCUCCUUGUAUAAAUUAAAUAGGGAGUCGGACCUGCCCAGUGAAUAUUUAAACGGCCGCGGUACUCUGACCGUGCAAAGGUAGCAUAAUCAUUUGCCUUAUAAUUGAAGGCUAGUAUGAAUGGUUUGACAAGAAUAUAGCUGUCUCUUUUUGAUUUUAUAGAAUUUUAUUUAAGGGUGAAGAAGCCUUUAUUUAAUUAAAAGACAAGAAGACCCUAUCGAGCUUUAAAGCAAUAAGUAGAUUUAUGGAUCUUAAUAAUUUUAUGAAGAUAUCUACUAAAAAAUUUUAGUUGGGGCGACCAAGGAACAUAAGAAGCUUCCUUUGACAAACUUAAAUAAUUGCAAUUAUUUGAUCCAAGAGUUUUUGAUUAAAGGAAUUAGUUACCGUAGGGAUAACAGCAUUAUCUUCUUUGAGAGUUCUUAUCGAAAAGGAGGUUUGUGACCUCGAUGUUGGACCAGAAUAUCCUAAAGAUGCAGCAGUCUUUGAAGGUUGGUCUGUUCGACCAUUAAAAUUCUACG
rnacentral:rRNA from 1 species